CAACUAGAAACUGUACUUCAUGAUUUGUAAGAGAUGUGACUUUUAAUCUUUUUAAAAAUCUAAUUAUCAUAGGAUUUCAAGGGGUUGGAAUUGGGCCUUAUGUCAUUGGACCGUCACUUGUGUUCAUCCUAAUUUGCAUAUUUGCUGGAGUCUUCAUUUAUAAGAGACAACACAAACGGCCUCAUCAGGAUAUACAAGGUUCACUAACACAAUCUGAGCCAAGGAGAUCAGUUUGGAACAGAUUCUCAAGUCGUUUUAGUAUGCCUGAAGGAAGAGCACCUUGGAGUAACAGGGAAAACAGGAGUGAUACCAGGCAAGUACAUCAUGAAAAUGUAAAAGAAAGAAAGUCUGGUUAGUGUUGGUUCUCUCCAGUGAAUUAGCUAGUGUUAUCUGCAGAUACACUGGAGAUGCUCCCAAAAGACCACCAAAGCCUGAACAAAGGCAGGUUGAAAAUAUAUUUAACAUAACUAAAAUUAACCAUAAAUUAUGUUAACAAUUAAUCAUAUUAUACAUUACCUGAUUAAACAUUACAUGACACACACAUCUUAACAGACGGAGCAUCUGGAGCCGAUUUUCUAGGUAUUCAGUAUUCACCUUUUUUAAAUCAUUGUGUGUUUCAUUAUUAAAUAACAAAGUCCUCCAAUUUGUUAAUUUUAUUCUCUUUUUGUUGUAGACAC